CUCUCUCUCUCUCUCUCUCUCUCUCUCUCUCUCUCUCUCUGUCUCUCUCUCUCAAUCGAGUGCCGAAGCAAUGACCAUGGCGCAAGCACUCUCGGUUCUCCCUCUCUCAGGAAUCCUAAAAUCAGGCACGGAAGAUGGAGAGAUCAGUUUUCAGUUCAGACCUGCACUUCUGAUUUCCUCAUUUCCAUCUCAGAGAAUGAAAUGGAUUACAGAAACUGGAGAAGAUUAAAGACUCAAAUAAGCAGAGCCGGCAGUUGGAAGAACUUACAGGAAAGAUGCGGGAAUGCAAGAGGUUGGUGGAAAAUUGCAUUUUCAUGCAUGAUACUAGUUUAUUAGAUGAACUAGAUGUGGAAAAUUUCAUCUCUUAGAUGAAAGAACCUUUCCAUACUUGUCAUUGGGUUAUUGUUUCUCAGGCUUAUCAAAGAGUUUGACCGAGAAGUUAAGGAAGAGGAGAGUAGAAAUACUCCAGACACCAACGAAAUGCUUAGUGAGAAAAAAACAAUCAAUGGUGUUGUUCACUCCUUAAAGAUCUUUACUCUUUAUAAGCAAUUGCAACUUCUCAGUGUUUGUUUGAAACUCUAAUAAGCUUUUUGUCCAUAUUCAUUGUUAUGUAUUGAACUUGGGAAUACUUUCUCAUUUUUUGCAGAUUAAAGAAUUGAAUUCUUAUGUCACUCUUAAAAAGCAGUGAGUUAUCAACUUUUCUCACAAAUUAUUGAAGCUGGCUUUAUGUGGAACCCUUUCAUUUACAAAAGCAUCUAUUUGUUUAUUUCGAAACAUCACAUUUUUUUAGAACAUCUACUUCGCCUUUUGCUAUGUUUUCUUUACAUUUGUUUGUUCGGAAAAUGAAAAAUGCCCUUUUCCAUCUUCCCAUUCUAAAACUAGUUUGUGUUGUUAGAUAUCCAAGUCUCUAUUACUAAAUAAUUGCAAAGGGCUCUUGGACCCAUGUGAUUAUGGACGCUUUUUAGAAUAGGGAAGA